CUUCCCUCAACCCUCUAUUUUUUUUAAAUCCUGCAUUGAAGUGCAUAAAUAUAUACUAGAAUCAGAAUCUAAAAUCCAACUGAAAGAAGAGAAAAUCGUUAGAUUAGUUUCUAUAAUGAGCAAGUCAAACAUAUCUUCCGAAAGUAAGUCCUUCUUGUUCUUUAGGCUUGUCAGAAUAGAGCCCCUUGAACUCUUCAAGAUCCCUUCAACUAUCACCAACAUAUUAAGUAAUUUGUACAGGAUGCUAUCAAUCUUAUUCAUAUGUAGUUUACAAUAAACUGUCUAUACAAAUCAGAAAGAGAUUGCAGGAUCAGAUCCACCUGCAAAUUCUUGUCUAUGGUCAUAUCGAGCUUCUGAAGCUCCUCGAUGUUCUUGAUCAUUGUCAAACAAUGAUCAUGGACCGACUGUCCAUCACGUAUUUUCACUUUAAAGAGUCAUUUGAAAACUUCAAAGUAAGCUGUGUGACUCUAAUCAUCAUACAACUCUUGCAGGUGACUUAGCAUAUCCUUAGCAAUCUUGACAUCUUCAUGCUAAUGCUGAACAUCGUUAGACAUGGAUGCCAUGAUGUAGCGUCUAAUCUGAUUAUCAUCAUCCAUCUACUUCUCAAGUGCAGCUUGUUAAUCAGGGGAUGGAUGAGUCAACAACACAGAGAUUUUCUAAUCAAGAAUAUAGGUCAAUUUCUCAGAAUUGAGAACUAUUCUCAAGUUUCUAAGUCAAUCCUUAUAAUUAGUUUCGAUCAACCUGUUGGUCUUUAGGAUACAAGCUAGUGGAUUGGAAGUCGAUAUGACUAACUGUCGAGAGUAAAAUUUUUUAGUUAGAUAUUUAUACUUGAUUUUAAUUUAUUUUAAAAUUUUUAAAAAUAAAUACUAUUCUCACUAUUUUUUUGAGUCUCUCACACUCCUCGGAUGGAGAAAUAGAAAUCACUAUACGAUUAGGAUUUCAAGUAGAUACUGCGUUCCCACUGAUCUACGCACACCUCACCAAAUAAUUAUUGAUAACAUGAAACCAAUGAGUGGACAACACUGAGUCUAUUGCUUCACUAAGCAAGAUGGAGCGACAUCGAUCUCUAAGUCCUAUAGCCUCACCUAACAGUUAUUGGUAUAUUUCUUAGUUAAGUCAGAUCCAUCAUUCACCAAUGGGUGCAAAGCCGUCAUUGAGUCUUUUAUCUAAUAGUUAUUGGAUCCAAUCCUAUCUUUAUCCUAAAACAUCUAAUGCUAAGAGAGUGGGGCAUGUGCUAGGGAGAAGGAGAAUCCCAGUAGAUCGGGACUUUUUCUUUUAGGUGCAUGGUUAAUUCCUAACUAAUUAGGAAUUUGGUUGCAUCCAAGAAAAGAAUAAAUUCUGGUCUAACUAAAAAUUCAAUUAAAUCCUAAUCCAAUUAGAAAAUUAAUUGAACCAAGUUCAAAUCAAAUAAGGAAUUAGUCUCCCUUACAAUUGGUUAUCUUAUAACUCAAUUAGACUUGAUCUAAUCCAACCUAAAUCAAAUCAAAUCGAAU
rnacentral:lncRNA from 1 species